rnacentral:rRNA from 1 species
GACGAACGCUGGCGGCGUGCUUAACACAUGCAAGUCGAACGGAAAGGCCCUGCUUUUGUGGGGUGCUCGAGUGGCGAACGGGUGAGUAACACGUGAGUAGCCUGCCCUUGACUUUGGGAUAACUUCAGGAAACUGUGGCUAAUACCGGAUAGGAGCUCCUGCUGCAUGGUGGGGGUUGGAAAGUUUCGUCGGUUGGGGAUGGACUCGCGGCUUAUCAGCUUGUUGGUGGGGUAGUGGCUUACCAAGGCUUUGACGGGUAGCCGGCCUGAGAGGGUGACCGGCCACAUUGGGACUGAGAUACGGCCCAGACUCAUACGGGAGGCAGGAGUGGGGAAUAUUGAACAAUGGGCGGAAGCAUGAUGCAGGAACGCCGCGUGCGGGAUGACGGCAUUCGGGUUGUAAACCGCCUUCGCCUGUGACGAAGCGUGAGUGACGGUAAUGGGUAAAGAAGCACCGGCUAACUACGUG